GACGAACGCUGGCGGUGUGCUUCACACAUGCAAGUCGAACGAAGUAGCAAUACUUAGUGGCGGACGGGUGAGUAACGCGUAGGAAUCUGCCUUUAGAUGGGGGAUAACUGACCGAAAGGUCAGCUAAUACCGCAUAUGUAUGUGACCCGACAGGGUCGUAUAUAGAAAGGAGCAAUCCGUCUAUAGAUGAGCCUGCGUCCGAUUAGCUAGGUUGGUAAGGGUAAAANCCCACCAAGGCGACGAUCGGUAGUUGGUCUGAGAGGAUGACCAGCCACAAUGGGACUGAGACACGGCCCAUACUCCUACGGGAGGCAGCAGUGGGGAA
rnacentral:rRNA from 1 species